UCAACUUAUAAGCUCCAACAACUUCAAUCAUUUACAAUAUAGUACAUUUUACCAGCUUUUUCUUUUUUUCACUUCUCUUUCCUAGUAAAAGGACUAUAUUCACAUUGGCUCUCAUAUUUAUCGAGGUGGUCGCAACUAGUUUUGGUCAAGAGGGUUCAUCUGAAUCGCCUUUUGUGCAACAAGGUCGGGCCAAAAUAACUUUUUGUGUGUGUGUGUUUUCAUAUUUUCUUGAAAUUCUAUAGUAGUGUUAAAGGCGGUUCAGUAUUUACUUUUAAGUCACUUGAGCGGUAAAAGACAGUUCAAGAUUUACUUUAGGUCGCAGGUUCAAAUUUCAAGUACUGUAGCGGUAAAAGGUGGUUCAAGAUUUACUACAAGUCAUAGUAGGUUUGACCUUCUUUGACUUAAGGGAAGCUUCUAUUGUAGUGGUAAAAAGCGGUUCAAGAUUUAUUUUAGAUCGCAAAUUCAAAUUUCAGGUGUGACAUUUAUUGCAUUAUUAUUUCAACUUUCUUUUUUUUUUUUCCUCCAAAACUCCACACUUAGUAUCAUCUAGAAAUAUAGAUAAAAAUCGACAUGAUUCAACAUGCUCGUGAGCUUUCAAAUAUCUUCACGCAUCACUUCUGUCUCUCCUAAAGUAGCCACUCAUUUCUGUGUCAUGUCAACGUCCUUCACCUGUCAAAAUUUCUGACUUCGCUAAUAACCUUUGAUAAAUAUGGCAACUUCCUUCACCUGUCAAAAUUUGUAACUUCGCUACUGACCUUUGAUAAAUAUGGCAACUUCCUUCACCUGUCAGAAUUUCUAACUUCGCUACUGACCUUUGGUAAAUAUAGCAACUUCCUUCACCUGUCAAAAUUUCUGACUUCGCUACUGACCUCAGUAGUUAUGACUCACUCAUGCAUGGUGGCAAAUGUAGUUGUAACUUUUAAGUAUCAUCAAAUUAUCUCAAGUGUGACAUUCUUGUAAUUUUAUUUUUUUUAAAUCGUCUUGUUAGAAUUUCUGGCUUUCGAUGG
rnacentral:lncRNA from 1 species